rnacentral:rRNA from 1 species
AUUGAACGCUGGCGGCAUGCCUUACACAUGCAAGUCGAACGGUAACAGGUCUUCGGACGCUGACGAGUGGCGAACGGGUGAGUAAUGCAUCGGAACGUGCCCAGUCGUGGGGGAUAACUGCUCGAAAGAGCAGCUAAUACCGCAUACGACCUGAGGGUGAAAGCGGGGGACCGUAAGGCCUCGCGCGAUUGGAGCGGCCGAUGUCAGAUUAGCUAGUUGGUGGGGUAAAGGCCUACCAAGGCAACGAUCUGUAGUUGGUCUGAGAGGACGACCAGCCACACUGGGACUGAGACACGGCCCAGACUCCUACGGGAGGCAGCAGUGGGGAAUUUUGGACAAUGGGCGCAAGCCUGAUCCAGCAAUGCCGCGUGCAGGAAGAAGGCCUUCGGGUUGUAAACUGCGUUUGUCAGGGAAGAAAUCUUCUGGGCUAAUACCCCGGGAGGAUGACGGUACCUGAAGAAUAAGCACCGGCUAACUACGUGCCAGCAGCCGCCGUAAAAC